CGCCCGCGGCGAUGCCCUCAAAGCCGCCAUUCCCAGAGCGUCAACCUCCUAGAGCAGUCCCAGAGGAAACCUGGAGCAAGGCGCGCUCCCUGAGGCCUUCCUUUAAAGGGACAGCACGGAUCAAGUUUACAGAAACUAGAACAAGAGUAGAGGCGCCAGGAACAGGACACAGCAGUCACAAUUAGAGAAAGUGGCACAGGAAUGUAUUUGGCAGCAGCAGAGGAUUGUAACAGAAAAUCAUCUGCAGUUCCAGAAGAGACAGCUAAAGGAACAAGGAGCAGAGGCAGAAAAACAGAGAAAGAGGAAUGCCUGGAGUAUGAAAGAAGAAACUGGGAGAAGAUAUGAGGCUGAGGAGCAAAUAAAGAGGAAGAUGCUGGACUAACUCUAGAGGAAGCCAAAC